UGUUCUUCGUGAACAUAGCGAACUGCUCAGUAACACGUGGAUAACCUACCCUUAGGACCGGAAUAACCCCGGGAAACUGGGGAUAAUACCGGAUAAGCCAUAGACGCUGGAAUGCCCUAUGGUUCAAAGCUCCGGCGCCUAAGGAUGGAUCUGCGGUCUAUCAGGUUGUAGUGGGUGUAACGUACCUACUAGCCGACGACGGAUACGGGUUGUGAGAGCAAGAGCCCGGAGAUGGAUUCUGAGACACGAAUCCAGGCCCUACGGGGUGCAGCAGGCGCGAACACUUUACAAUGCGGGAAACCGCGAUAAGGGAACCCCGAGUGCCAGCAUCAAAUGUUGGCUGUCCAGAUGAUUAAAAAUCAUUUGUUAGCAAGGGCCGGGCAAGACCGGUGCCAGCCGCCGCGGUAACACCGGCGGCCCGAGUGGUAGCCGUUUUUAUUGGGUCUAAAGGGUCCGUAGCCGGCUUGAUAAGUCCUUUGGGAAAUCUGGCAGCUUAACUGUCAGGCUUCUAAGGGAUACUGUCAGGCUUGGGACCGGAAGAGGUAAGGGGUACUCCAGGGGUAGGAGUGAAAUCUUGUAAUCCCUGGGGGACCAUCUGUGGCGAAGGCGCCUUACCAGAACGGGUCCGACGGUGAGGGACGAAAGCUAGGGGAGCAAACCGGAUUAGAUACCCGGGUAGUCCUAGCUGUAAACGAUGCUCGCUAGGUGUCAGACACGGUGCGACCGUGUUUGGUGCCGCAGGGAAGCCGUUAAGCGAGCCACCUGGGAAGUACGGUCGCAAGGCUGAAACUUAAAGGAGUUGGCGGGGGAGCACUACAACGGGUGGAGCCUGCGGUUUAAUUGGAUUCAACGCCGGGAAGGGC
rnacentral:rRNA from 1 species